ACAAGGUUCCGUAGGUGAGACCUGCGGAAGGAUCAUUA
rnacentral:rRNA from 1 species